GAUGAACGCUGGCGGCGUGCUUAACACAUGCAAGUCGAACGGAAAGGCUCCUGCUUGCAGGGGUACUCGAGUGGCGAACGGGUGAGUAACACGUGGGUGAUCUGCCCUGCACUUCGGGAUAAGCCUGGGAAACUGGGUCUAAUACCGGAUAGGACGAUGGUUUGGAUGCCAUUGUGGAAAGUUUUUCGGUGUGGGAUGAGCUCGCGGCCUAUCAGCUCGUUGGUGGGGUAAUGGCCUACCAUGGCGUCGACGGGUAGCCGGCCUGAGAGGGUGUACGGCCACAUUGGGACUGAGAUAAGGCACAGACUCCUACGGGAGGCAGCAGUGGGGAAUAUUGCACAAUGGACGCAAGCGUGAUGCAGCGACGCCGCGUGGGGGAUGACGGCCUUCGGGUUGUAAACUCCUUUCGCUAGGGACGAAGCGCAAGUGACGGUACCUGGAGAAGAAGCACCGGCUAACUACGUG
rnacentral:rRNA from 1 species